GGUCCACUCCGUUCAGUACCAGUUUACACCUGACCACGUGCACUUGUGUUUCCGCUGGCAGGGCGCCGUGCUUCGAUUGGUGCGCUAGGGGGGAAGGUUAGGGUGGCAACUCGUCAGGACUUACUUCAGCACACGAACACGGUGGUGCACUGGAAGAAAUAAAUUGUUGAUUUUAAAAAUUCAUUACCAUCCACAGUGUGUGUGCGCUACUUUUGGAACUGACAAAGUCCGGAAAAGUUCACACGAAAGCUCAGCCGGAAAAUCCACGUGAAAACUCACAACUACGCCGGGUGUAGCGUACAGGGAAAGUGAUUUCCGUUUCCGCGACUUUGAUUCGCGUUAGUUAAUCGCAUCGUGUGAAGAGCAAGGAAACUCGUUGCAGCAGCAGUGGGUGGUGAAACGAAAGUGAAAUUCGAACAGUUGGUUGGCGCGCUCGAAAUUUCCCGGCCAGAGGAAAAACUUCAACAUUAUUUGCGCGGGCUUUUCGUGCUGUAACCUUCUGACAUCACGUUUAAGAGAAGCCCGUUGUUGUCUGUCGUCUGUGACGGAUAACUCAAUCGAUCGUACUUUUUCGUCGAAGGACCUCCCCCAGGAUAUGUUCCACCACUUGAGCAGCUCGCAUCGCAACCAUUGAUGGUCGUUCCGAAGGUCGCAGUGGCCACCGUGAUUCCGCAGCCCGCCGGAAAGAUGGCCCCACCGGGUCCUGUUCGGGACCGGCGGAGAAAAACCCACGGCCUGUACUUCCACUCAUCGCCACCGAAAGUAUUACAAAUGAACAAUCAAAAUCUACAACGAGACAAUGACAACAAAACCAAAGACGCUUUAGUGAUAAAACCGUCCAACAUACGGAUAUGGCUGCACCAGAAGCACAUCGCGAAGCUGACCAAGGUGUUGUGGGCCGGCCAGGGAAUGCGCCUGCGGACGGAAACUUCGCACCAUCCCAAAAUGAAACGCUUUCUGGAGUGUGUGCCACAUGUUAUGGGUGUCAUCAAGGACAUCCACCAGGCCGUGGUGGACAACGAUCUGGACACGCUGAAGGAGCGGACGGCCAGUCCGACGCCCCGGAUCGUGCUGACCAGCAAGGAUGCCAACGGGCUAACGCCACUGCACAAAGCUGCCGGGCUGGCGCACACCCAGAUUGUCGAGUACAUCCUGUCCAUUUGGCCGAGUCUCUCGUCGGACGAGGACCACACCGGGAAGACUCCGUUGCAUUGGGCGGCCAGUGCCAAGAACAACGCGCGCAGUUUUAAUCUGCUGGUGCAGGCCGGGGCCGACGAGGCCGCGCUGGAUCACCGGGACAAACCGGCCGAGUAUUACAAGAACAAGCCGAGCGAGAUCGACCGGUCGCUGCUGACGGUGAUCCCGGAGGCACCGCGCGUCUCCCAGCAGGGCUUUCCGGCGUACUUCGACUGGGCCAUGUUCACGAUCGACGAGGAUUCCGACGAUAGCAACGGUUCGAGAAUGAAACCAUUUUUGUCGCAAAAUAACUUACUAGAUAACGAUGUAAAUAGUUACGAUAGUGUUUCCAAGUCAAAAUCAGUGCACAAUCUUACUAACGGGACGCUAACCGAUCUCCCGAACGACGGCGAGGGCGAAUCCGAAGCCAAGAACAAGGAUUCGGAGGAGGAGGAGGAGGUGGAAACUGCGGCAAAUCCUACCGAAUCGGCUGGUGAAGAAGACACUGGAGACGACGGAGCCGAAGCCGAAGAAGAACAACAGGACAACGACCAGCAAGCCGAGGAGGAAGAAGCGGUGAUCAACGGAGUCGCGAAGGAGGAGGAGGAGCAGGAGGAAAGUAACCCAACCGAACAAGUCACGAAUCAGGCUGAAACUGAAGCUACAGGAGACAGGGACGGUGGUGGCGGCGACGACGACGACGGUAAAGUCGUCACGGCUGAUGAUGCUGCUGCUGCUGCUGCUGAAAAUGAGCAAACUGAGCAAAACAUUGAAACUGGCGAGAGUGAGCAGGUGGUCGAUGGAAUGGAAACCGGCGAGGUUGAUGACGAUGGGAAAAAGGAAGUUGAUGUUGAUGUUGAUGGAAAUCACGAAGUUGCUGGAGUUGACACGGUUGUGGAUGAGUUGGUCAAGGGUGCGAUUACAAGCGCCAAGAGCGUUAGAGGGGGAGAUGGAGGUGAUGGGAUGGCAAAUGGCGUGGAUGUUGAUGGGAAGUUUGAAGCGAAUGGAGAGCUCACGAACGAUAGUCUGGAGAGUAAUGCUUUGGGUGAGAACGGUGGAGAUGAGGAAGAGAUUGAUCAAGACAGCCUGAACAAGCCGGACGAAGAGGUUGAGAACGGUUCGAUGGGCAACAGAGAGAUUUCAGCGCAAAGUAAGACAGAAACUCGCAACUCUUCGGCGGCGACGCUGGUUGGAAAAGGUUCACGACCGUCAACCGUAACGAUUUCGAAUCAUUCUGUUGAUAGGAAUGGAAACUCGGCUGCAUCAGGUGGGAGCAGAGUAUCAUCUGCUGUUGGAGAUAAUUUGAGCACCUCGGCAAAUAAUUCUGCCAAAUCAAGACCGGUGAGCAGCAGUAACUCUGAGCAAUCGACGGUAAAGAUCAACUCGGCAGCAUCUAAGAAAACGAUUCCACACUCUGCAAAGACUAUGUCGAAUGGCUUUGAAAGCCGAAAUGGAUCAGCCAUUUCUGUCAUUGAAACGAAUAACAAUCAGGACGAUCAGUCCGUAGAACAUGACAACCAAUCAACCGGAACUAAACCACCGUCAAGUGUCGUUAGUGGCCGUGAACUAUCGGCCACAUCUAGAGCUCAAUCGACCUCCUCGACGGUUCGCAAUGGCUCGGCCUCUUCGGGAGUGGACCGCAAGCAGCAAAGGUCGGCCAAAUCCGGCACCUCGCAGAAGAGCCGCCGAGACGUCGCUGACGAUGGCGAUGACAAGAGCGACUCGAACGAUGACUCAAAUCAAGCCGAUGUUGAAAUAAUUCAUUACAAGAGUAGCAAUGAGGCUGGACCCGCCGAGGACAGAGCGCCCUCCGACACCAAUAAAAACGACGAGCCGGCUCAAAACGAGGUCAAGGCAGAAGAACCUGUUGAGCCCCCCGCCGACGCCAACGACGACGACGAACCCGAAGACAAAGUUGCGUCUCCCAGCCCGGCACUGGAGAUUGCCGGAACCGUCCUGGGUGAACCGGAUGGAGGCCAACUGCACAGUGCUCAACCAUCCGGCGACGGUCUAGACUCGCCCAAUGAGGAUCGCUCCGUGCGGGACGUCAUCGAGACCGGCGACAUGGAGCAGUUGGCCGUGAUCGUGCUGAACGGCGAGGGCAAAAAGCUGCUCGGGCAGCGGUCCGAGCUGCCGGAAAUUCAAGCCUUCCUAGAUAACGUGCCUUCCUACAUGAACAAAAUCCGGCGCGUGCACGUGGCCGCUCGCGACGGCAGCCUGCGUGACCUGCAGUCGGCGCUCGACCGCCGGAAGUUUGCCACGGCCCGGGACGAAAUCUCGCCGCACGGUGCCACCCCGCUGCACGUGGCCACCAUCUUCGGACACUCAGGUAUUGUCAGAUAUUUAGCUGGUCGCUUUCCAGAGACGACCAGCGCAACGGACAACAACGGCCGAACUCCGAUGCACUACGCGGCUACGUUGAAGGACAACGGACACUUCUACAACUUGCUGAAUCACUUGGGGGCAAAUCCAAAGGCGGAGGAUAAUUUGAAUCAUCCAGCCGAGUAUUACCUGAACCACGACGAAACCAAGGAUCUACUGUCUCACCGUCAGCUACUGCAGGACUAUGGCGCCGAAGAGGAUCUCGCCGAUGACAUGCUCAACGAUCAAGUGCCCGACGAUCUGCACAGUGCCCGCCGGGAGUUGGACGAUGUGGACACGCUGACGACGCUGGAGCGUUGCUUUAAGAUUAUCCACGAACCGGUCGCCGACCUGCUGAAGACGGUAACCCUUCCGAGCAAUAGUGUCCCCGGCAGUGCUUCCUCGUUGCGAGUGCUGGUUACUUCCUAUUUGGCGCGAUUCCUGAAGAGGAGUGUUUUCGAUACAAUCAAGAAACGGCAAACUAAGCUUGAUCACAAUCUGUUCGAUGUGAUUUGGCCUGCGAUGAAGAAGGUGACCAAGGAGCGGAAAAUCGAUGAAGAUUUAAACGCGGGAGUCGUGAUACCAGACUACGAUGUGUUUGUGGUAUUUCAAGAGUUUCUUGUCCCGUUGAUCCAGGAUAUGCACUGCAUGGAAGUGCAGCCGAAUUUUGACCCACAUCCGCCGAUGCAAUUCUUCCCACGGUAUGUGAUGACCGAAACUCAAAAUGAAACGCACGAGAGUAACGGUAACGUUCUCCGUGAGAAUCCCAACGAGAUCCAGCUGAAUCUGGACACUUCCGGGCGGUUCAUCACCGGAGCGGUUGUCGAGUGCUGUCGGAACUUGGACGCUUUUGAGUUUCCGCUGAACCUCAGCAUAGCACAACUGGAGCGGGCAGAACGUAUUCUAACGUCCAAGAUUUUGUCGAUGCUAUUUGCCAACGCCAUAGGCGAGGAAGAGCUGGGGACGUACUACACAAUGAACGAAAUUCUCGAGAGCCAAUCCGAGAUACGAACGAUUCUCGCUACUAGCGGACUGUUGAUUCCCAUGUUGGACCAUUCAGAUCCAUACCAAACGGCGGAAUCCAUCGCACUCAACGGCCGGUACUGGCCGUACGGCCGAGGAGUCUACGUCAGUCACAACCAAGAUCUAGUAGCGUGGAUCAACGCACAGGAGCACCUGCGAGUAAUGUGCUGUACGAGCUCGAAAAAUCCAGCGGACAUCGGAAUCGCAUAUUCCAAAAUUGGUCGCGCCAUGAACUUCCUCGAGGACAAAAUUCAGUUCAAGCACAGCUACUUCCUUGGAUAUCUAACGUCGCGACCUUCCUAUCUCGGCACCGGACUCAAAAUCACGCUCACCCUGGAGCUCCCCCACCUUAACAAGGAAAAGGAAAACCUGCGCCAUCUCUCCCAGGUUCGUGGACUGUACCUCCUAACUUCCUCCGAUAACCAGCAAUCCGUCCGGAUGAGCAAUACGCGCAGCCUCUCCCAGUGCGAGUGGCAAAUCUUCCAGGAUUACACCGGUGCCAUAACCAACAUCGUUGCGCUGGAGAAAGAUCUGUUGAUGUCCAACUCGAUGCACAUUGCCGCCACGUUGUUGAAAAUAUUUCGUAAGAAAAAGAAUAGCUUAGUGGAGGCGGCGGCCAUCCAUUAGAAAACAACCCCCUUCAUCCACAUCGCCGUUCAUCGUUCAGCACUUAGAGAGACGUAGAACCUGCAGCAUCCAGUGAAAUUCGGUGUUCAUGACUAGCCGACAGUGUGUGUAACCUCAAUUUCAUCUCAGCAACAACAGUUCCUGCAGAAUACCUUUAACUUUAUACGACUAACCCCGUUAGACUUAUCUUAAAUAGCUUAGCAAGUAGUGAGAGCGAGAGCUUAGAGAGAGCAAGUGUUGGAAAGAUUUUCACCGGACGUGCAACGGAAUUGAGUGACGCACAGGUUGAGAUACCAUUGUUUCGAACCGAAGAGGGCAGAUAUCUAGCGACAU